AUGGCGAACACGGGUUUAUCACGGCGUAACUCUUGUCCAAAGGUUCACAGCGCAUUGUGCAGUGAGCUGACUAUGAUGCUAGAUAAAAUCUCCUCUAUUCUUCCAUCAAUUGAGGCAGCUCGACCAGGAUGUAGAGCAGGAAUACAGGAAUUGUGCAACUUAUACCAUAUAGUUGAGAAAGGAAGGCUCAUAACUCAGCACUGCAUCGAAUGUAGUAAACUCUACUUGGCAAUUACAGGUGAGGCGAUUUUAUCACGGUGUGAAAGGGUCAGAGACUCACUUAAACGGAGUCUCUUCCUGAUUCAGAAUAUGGUCCCAACAGUAUUAGCUAAUCAGAUUGCUGACGUCCACAAUGAUCUUCGAGAUGUAAAAUUUUCUGUUGAUCCACUGGAACAAGAGGCUGGCAAAUCAAUUUUAGAGAUGCUUCGGCAGUCUGAUGCAACUGAAGAACUUCUACUUCAGACAUUCAUGCAGGCAGCUUCAAAGUUAAACCUGACAUCUCCUAAAGCUAUCUUAAUUGAAAGAAGAGCGAUCAAGAAACUGCUCGAUAAGAUUACUGGUACUGAUCAGAAAAAGGAGCAGGUUCUUAAGUUUCUCCUACAUCUUGUUACAAAGUAUGGAAAGAACGUCAAACCAGACACUGGUGAGCGGAAUGAAAAUUUACAAUCUGAAAGUAAGUCUUUGAGUCCAAGCUUAAGUCUUGCAAGCGAUGCCAGUACUCCUGAAAAGUGCGACAAGCCAACAUACUUCCAGGGAUAUGAGUAUCAGAGUAGCAUGUCUGGAGAAACCACACCACCUACAGAGUUCUGUUGCCCAAUAUCAACAAAGCUAAUGCAUGAUCCUGUGAUAAUAACAUCUGGACAGACUUACGAAAGAGAAUAUAUUGAGAAAUGGUUCAGUGAGGGAUACAACACUUGUCCCAAGACACAAAAAAAGCUAGAAAACUUUGCGAUGAUUCCAAAUACUUGCAUGAGGGAUCUCAUUUGCAACUGGUGCAGAGAGCAUGGUUUCACAAUCUCAGAUUUUCUUCCAAGCAAAGAUUCCUACAGUUAUUUGCCAGAGCAAUUGCAUGGUCACUCUAUGUCAAGUUUGCACAAUGUUUCAGUACCUCUAAUUGCUGGGAAUGCCAGGAAUUUUGUGAUUGAUCACAGCAGUUCAUCUGUCGCGUUUUCUGAUGCCAGUUAUGUCUCAGAUUCCUCCCAUGUGAAGGAUAUGGAGGAGCCGAAGGAUACUUUUUCUCAGUUCUCUUGGAGUGUAGAUUAUCAGAAGCAUCUGUCAUUCCACAACUUCAACCAGUGCAUGUUCCUGAGGUUCUUCUGCGAGCUGUCCAAGCUCCCAUUAGAAAUACAAGGAAGCUCCAUUAAAGAUCUGAAGAACAUUCUUCACGAUGACGAUGAUGUUUCCUGGGCUAUGGCGUCCCAUGGAUUUGUAGAAGCAUUCCUCGAAUUCUUGAGAAAUGAUAGCAGCAGCUACAGUAUGAAAGCUCAACAAGCUGGAUUACAUUUUUUUCUUAAUUUCCUUUCCAACAGCAGGGCUAAGAUUCCAUCCAUGGAUGAAGAAGCAUUCCGUCUUAUCACGUCCUUCCUCAGUUCGGAGCUAAAAACUGAAGCUUUGUUGGUGCUCCAUGAACUGAUUCGACACCUGAGUCGUCAGCAAUCCUGUCAGAUGGCCUCUGUUGUCACUCCUCCUGUUUUGGCAAUAUUGGCAUCUGAAGAUAUCGAGGGCCUUGAGCUUCCCUUGAAGAUUAUCUGUGAUCUUUCAUCCGAUGCUGAUGUGAAGUCAGAGCUGAUUUCACUUGGAAUAAUCUCAAAGCUGGUUCCCAUUUUGGCAGAAGGAAGCUUCGUCGAGUGCUGUUUGGAGAUUUUGCGGAACUUAUGCGACAUGGAAGAAGCUAUGGUGCUUAUUACCAGAACAGACCGAUGUCUUGGUUCCAUUGCAGAGUAUCUAGACACGGGAAGCCCUAAAGAACGAGAACUUGCAGUGAUAAUCCUUCUGGCAAUAUGUUCCCGUAGCGUGGAGGAUUGCUCCCAGGUGAUGAAGGAGGGCGUUAUCCCCGCCCUCGUGGACCUGUCGGUGAACGGGAUCGAUGAAGCGAAGAGCUGCUCGUUCAAGCUACUGAAUCUUCUGAGGGAUAUGAGGCAAAGCGAGCUCAACAACUCGUGUUCCCAAGAAGUGGCGGCCGCCGCCGAAGUGAUAGAGGAUCCUCCCACCGAGAGCCCGAUUCACAGGCGGCCAGCAUCGAAGUCAUCUGGUUUUUUCCAGAGGAAGCUGAACAUUUUCUCGAAACCUCGGUCCCUGACGCUGUUUUGA
rnacentral:rRNA from 1 species